CACCUGACCCCAUGCCGAACUCAGCAGUGAAACGCCGUAGCGCCGAUGGUAGUGUGGGGUCUCCCCAUGUGAGAGUAGGGAACUGCCAGGC
rnacentral:rRNA from 1 species